UAAUUUUAAAAAAUAGUAUUAUUUAAUUAAAAAAUAUUAAAUUAUAACAAAUACCCUUUAAUCACUUUGCGGGUUUGUUUUUGCCAUUUAAACCUUGUAAAAUCAUAUUAGAUGAUAUAUAAUUAAAUCUAUAGAAAGAAGUGUGGAUCAAUUGAUAAUUUAAGAAGCCACUUGACUUAAAAUUAUGUAACGAAAGUUAAAAUUGAGUAUUAUUAUUGCUACUUUAGAAAGGAAAGUUGUAUGUAGGGUAUUUAUCAUAAUUUAAUUAUGAUAAAAAAGUGCCAAAAAGUUUAAUUAAAUUGAAACAUGCAAUAUGGGAUACCUCUAUCCUUUCUUUGCCAAAUAUCCUUAAAAGGGUUAGCCUUUUGGAUCUCAAACUCUACCUUUUUUCUUAACAAACAAAUCUCUCUCUCUCUCUAUCUCUCUCUCUUGAUGGUUGAGAUUUUGGGGAUUAUAUGUGUUGGUUUGAGAGGUUGAAGCUGCCAGCAUGAUCUGAUUUAAUUUGCUGAAUUCUCUUUUAAUUUAGAGGUUUUUAUAAAGCAAUAUUAUUGAAAUUAAUAAGGCAAAAAUGGGCUCUCUUUUUUUUUUUUUAAUGGAUUUUGAUAUUAUGGUUUUCAAGGGUUUUUUUAUAUUUGAAAAUCAGGUCAUUCUAGCAGCUUCAAUCACUCAUUCACCAACAAUUUUCAUUUUACAAUGCCCUCCAGUUUCUUCAUUUCAGAAGAUCAAUAACAAAUGGAAAUCAAUAUUACAAUGGGAAAAGGAAAGGAUGUUAAACAGUAAUCAAAGUUGGUGAGUUGGUAGGUUUUAACACUUUUUUUAGUCGAUCAAGCCUUUGUAUAUGAUCUUUAAUUCCCUGAUCAAGAAGAAAUCAGUUGUUGUUUCAAAUGUGAAUUGGGUCUUUCUCAUGUUAUGUUUUUUUUUAUAAUUAUGGUGCUAAUUCUACCAUAUAAAUUGUUUCCACUGGCGUCCAUAUGAGUAUGUACAACUUUUGUUACUAAAUUCAAGUUUAAGUUGUUUGAACAUACGCACAAAACACUUUGUACGUCAAGGAAGAUAAGAGAAAAUAGAAGAAAAGUCAAUUUAUGGUC